UACGUAGGGUGCAAGCGUUGUCCGGAAUUAUUGGGCGUAAAGAGCUCGUAGGCGGUUUGUCGCGUCUGCUGUGAAAACCCGAGGCUCAACCUCGGGCCUGCAGUGGGUACGGGCAGACUAGAGUGCGGUAGGGGAGAUUGGAAUUCCUGGUGUAGCGGUGGAAUGCGCAGAUAUCAGGAGGAACACCGAUGGCGAAGGCAGGUCACUGGGCCGCAACUGACGCUGAGGAGCGAAAACAUGGGGAGCGAACAGG
rnacentral:rRNA from 1 species